CUAAGCUAGUGGGGGCAAAGUUUCAGUGCAUUCCGUUGAUGUAGACGGCGUGAAAACGGAAACAAGUAUGCCGUCUCACUGUGCUGCAUACAGUUACACACUGCGUCGUACGAUUGAGACAAGGAAACUUGGAAUGACUUUUCAUAGGUUUCCCAGAGACUAUGGGUUGAGGCGGAGGUGGAAGUUUGUCGGCUUAGACCUGGUGUCAUUCCAUCAGUGUUAACCUUCCCGGCUCAUCUUGGAAGAGUACGUGCCAGAAAGACCACGACCAAGCAGCCUUGAGAUCUUAGGCAGCAUCUCCCUCAGGUCCCUCUCUAUCUCCCCACACAUCCACCAACCACUGGAACACAUCUCCAAAGUUCUGCCGGGCCAGCUCAGCUUCCCUUCAGAAGAAGUGGUGCCACCUGCCAGAUGAAGGAGCCUUUUGAGAGGCAGCUGGCAUUGUGAUUGGACUGUACUUUGGUCUGUUCCAAUCCAGCUUCAGCUCCAGAGACGGC
ensembl:lncRNA